GAGAAAGAAGCAAACACUUAACCAAUCUAUUGACCUGGUUUUGUUUCACAGAGAGAAGCUGAAGCUGAGCUUGACCAAUGUUCCUCCUUUACUGAUGAAAGGGAUUGAACAAGCCUCCUCCAGAAUGUGUUUAGCUCUCUCUUGCUGCACAAUCUCAAAGACUGGAGAAUGUGGAAGAUUGAGCCUCUGUGGGAUUAGAAGUGUCUGACACUGGAAUUUAUCAUCAACUGAAACUUUGGGUCCUCCAUCUCUGCAGCCUCAACUCCACAAACCUGACAGAGCUCAAGGAGGAGUUCUGGGUCCCUGGGGGGAACACUCACAUGAGGAGGCAAGAAAGUGCUCCCACAUCUGGAAUCCGAGAAAGGCUCCGGUGGACCAGGAUCUUGAAGUGCUUCCAGUGCCAGAAGUUUUCAUAGAUGCUCUGAUGUAUGCUGCAGUUAUCUGGAGGGUGGCUAGUGUACCCUCCCCAUACACUCCCUGUGGCCAUUGGUGGUUAUUCAAUGGGAAGAUGAUGGAGGCCUUUGGGCAAAUGGUGGUGGUGCUGGAGGGUGAAGACCCAGGUGCCCAUUCCCCCACUGGCUGAGGCAGGCACAGUGGUUCUCCAGACAGCAGCUGCUGUGAGGAGUGGAGCAGGAUGAUCCACACCACCUCAGAAGGCCCCUGGGGCCCUCCACUUGAGGUGCCUGAGUGAGGGCAACCUUCUGAAUGUGGCUCUCCUGGCCUCUGUCUGACCCAUGUUGACCAGAGUUGAAUAGCCCAGACACACACACACACACAGCAGGGACACCAGCUCCUGCAGCCAUUGACAUUUCAGGGUAAGCACACUGCACCAGUGGGUUCCCCUUGGAGACUGGUGCAGUCACAGGAGGCAACAUGGGCAGCACCCAGAUGGCUGGUGUGUUGGCACAGGAGCAGAGGGAAGACAGGGCAGGUCUCUGAGGGGAGACAUAGGGGAGCCAGGUUCUGCCUGGUCUCAGCACUCGAGAUGCUGUGGAAGCAAAGUCAGGGCAAGUGGCUGUAGGAGUGAGGCCCCCAGCCUUUGUCACUAGGCAUCUGAGAAGGAAUGGCAACAGCUCAGGGUCUCGUGGGCAGGGAAUCUUGUGGUUUGCAACUUUCUCUGAGUGAAAUUUAGGCUUUCAAUUGAAAGUUACUCACCUACUAAACUAUUUUUCUUCACUCUGACAUUCAACUCCCACGUUGUAUAGCUUUGCCCCAGGUAUGCACCUCUCUUCCUCUCUCAUCCCAGUACCCACCUUUUGCCUUCUACCUACACAGACAAAUAUUGUUCCUAGUACUCAAAGACUCCCUGAACAUGGUCUAUAGUGACAGCUCAGCUUUCCCUGACUAGAGGCCCCUUGGCAUCCUUUGCUGACAGUGGGUCAGCGUCCAAGGCAUCUCGCUGGAAACUGACUCUGCCAAGUGGCACCAUGCCUCUCAGCAUUCUCACCUACAGGAAGGAGACCUCCCUUCUCCAGGAAAGUUCCAGGCACUCCAAGGCCUAUGUGGAGGUGACAAGUUCAUAAUUUAUGGGUCCAUCACCCCAUCAGCCUUCCUUUUGCUGACUCUCCUUGGAAAACCCUCUGUUUCUUUCCUGGCCUUGCACAACUAAACAAAAGCACCUGAGUGAAAUGUCUCCCCAGCUAGACCUGAGGAAGCCUGAAGGUCACCAGGAGCACAUCCUGCCCAGAGCACUUCUAAGCACAAGCACCAGUGGGGACACAGAUUCUGCCAUCUCAGUGUAUCUGUAAACAGGGUUUUCCCAAGAGAAUUCUUGACGUGGCCACAACUAGAUUAGCACUUGAACAUUUUGGCUGGAGGUGCAAAAGCCAUGGUCACAGAACUGUUCUCAACUUGAAAUGAAUCAAGGCAGUGGAC